rnacentral:rRNA from 1 species
CACGUAGGGCGCGAGCGUUGUCCGGAAUUAUUGGGCGUAAAGAGCUCGUAGGCGGCCUGUUGCGUCCGCUGUGAAAGCCCGGGGCUUAACCCCGGGUCGGCAGUGGAUACGGGCAGGCUAGAGGUAGGUAGGGGAGAAUGGAAUUCCCGGUGUAGCGGUGAAAUGCGCAGAUAUCAGGAGGAACACCGGUGGCGAAGGCGGGUCUCUGGGCAGUAACUGACGCUGAGGAGCGAAAGCGUGGGGAGCGAACAGG